GACGAACGCUGGCGGCGUGCUUAACACAUGCAAGUCGAACGGUAAGGCCCUUCGGGGUACACGAGUGGCGAACGGGUGAGUAACACGUGGGUGAUCUGCCCUGCACUUCGGGAUAAGCCUGGGAAACUGGGUCUAAUACCGGAUAGGACCACUGCCUGCAUGGGUGGUGGUGGAAAGCGUUUGCGGUGUGGGAUGGGCCCGCGGCCUAUCAGCUUGUUGGUGGGGUGAUGGCCUACCAAGGCGACGACGGGUAGCCGGCCUGAGAGGGUGACCGGCCACACUGGGACUGAGAUACGGCCCAGACUCCUACGGGAGGCAGCAGUGGGGAAUAUUGCACAAUGGGCGCAAGCCUGAUGCAGCGACGCCGCGUGAGGGAUGACGGCCUUCGGGUUGUAAACCUCUUUCAGCACCGACGAAGCGCAAGUGACGGUAGGUGCAGAAGAAGGAUCGGCCAACUACGUGCCAGCCGCCGCGGUAA
rnacentral:rRNA from 1 species